rnacentral:lncRNA from 1 species
AUGAAAUGUCUCAAUGAAAAAAGUAGGUCGAAUCAUGCAAACCAUGAUGAGUUUUUACUAGGAGGUUGCAGGGUAUGAGAAGAAGCCGAGAUCACGGCUUUAAUCGUCCAUUCAUUUGAAGAAACAUAACAGAAUGAAGGAGGUAUCUUCUUCUAAUCUUGACGUGUCAAUCAAAAACUAAAUUUAAUCAGAAGAAUUGUAAACCCGAAAUAGAUGA